rnacentral:tRNA from 8 species
GCAGAAGUGGUGGAACGGCAGACACGCUGUCUUCAGGCGGCAGUGGGAGCAAUCCCGUGAGAGUUCAAAUCUCUUCUUCUGCACCA